rnacentral:ncRNA from 2 species
GUAAAAAUUUUAUAAGAAUAUGAUGUUGGUUCAGAUUAAGCGCUAAAUAAGGACAUGACACAUGCGAAUCAUACGUUUAUUAUUGAUAAGAUAAUAAAUAUGUGGUGUAAACGUGAGUAAUUUUAUUAGGAAUUAAUGAACUAUAGAAUAAGCUAAAUACUUAAUAUAUUAUUAUAUAAAAAUAAUUUAUAUAAUAAAAAGGAUAUAUAUAUAAUAUAUAUUUAUCUAUAGUCAAGCCAAUAAUGGUUUAGGUAGUAGGUUUAUUAAGAGUUAAACCUAGCCAACGAUCCAUAAUCGAUAAUGAAAGUUAGAACGAUCACGUUGACUCUGAAAUAUAGUCAAUAUCUAUAAGAUACAGCAGUGAGGAAUAUUGGACAAUGAUCGAAAGAUUGAUCCAGUUACUUAUUAGGAUGAUAUAUAAAAAUAUUUUAUUUUAUUUAUAAAUAUUUAAUAUUUAUAAUAAUAAUAAUAAUAAUAUAUAUAUAUAAAUUGAUUAAAAAUAAAAUCCAUAAAUAAUUAAAAUAAUGAUAUUAAUUACCAUAUAUAUUUUUAUAUGGAUAUAUAUAUUAAUAAUAAUAUUAAUUUUAUUAUUAUUAAUAAUAUAUUUUAAUAGUCCUGACUAAUAUUUGUGCCAGCAGUCGCGGUAACACAAAGAGGGCGAGCGUUAAUCAUAAUGGUUUAAAGGAUCCGUAGAAUGAAUUAUAUAUUAUAAUUUAGAGUUAAUAAAAUUAAUUAAAGAAUUAUAAUAGUAAAGAUGAAAUAAUAAUAAUAAUUAUAAGACUAAUAUAUGUGAAAAUAUUAAUUAAAUAUUAACUGACAUUGAGGGAUUAAAACUAGAGUAGCGAAACGGAUUCGAUACCCGUGUAGUUCUAGUAGUAAACUAUGAAUACAAUUAUUUAUAAUAUAUAUUAUAUAUAAAUAAUAAAUGAAAAUGAAAGUAUUCCACCUGAAGAGUACGUUAGCAAUAAUGAAACUCAAAACAAUAGACGGUUACAGACUUAAGCAGUGGAGCAUGUUAUUUAAUUCGAUAAUCCACGACUAACCUUACCAUAUUUUGAAUAUUAUAAUAAUUAUUAUAAUUAUUAUAUUACAGGCGUUACAUUGUUGUCUUUAGUUCGUGCUGCAAAGUUUUAGAUUAAGUUCAUAAACGAACAAAACUCCAUAUAUAUAAUAUUAAUUAUAUAUAAUUUUAUAUUAUUUAUUAAUAUAAAGAAAGGAAUUAAGACAAAUCAUAAUGAUCCUUAUAAUAUGGGUAAUAGACGUGCUAUAAUAAAAUGAUAAUAAAAUUAUAUAAAAUAUAUUUAAUUAUAUUUAAUUAAUAAUAUAAAACAUUUUAAUUUUUAAUAUAUUUUUUUAUUAUAUAUUAAUAUGAAUUAUAAUCUGAAAUUCGAUUAUAUGAAAAAAGAAUUGCUAGUAAUACGUAAAUUAGUAUGUUACGGUGAAUAUUCUAACUGUUUCGCACUAAUCACUCAUCACGCGUUGAAACAUAUUAUUAUCUUAUUAUUUAUAUAAUAUUUUUUAAUAAAUAUUAAUAAUUAUUAAUUUAUAUUUAUUUAUAUCAGAAAUAAUAUGAAUUAAUGCGAAGUUGAAAUACAGUUACCGUAGGGGAACCUGCGGUGGGCUUAUAAAUAUCUUAAAUAUUCUUACA